rfam:Pseudomonas putida S11 PPS11_c134, whole genome shotgun sequence.
ACCCUCGUAUUAUUGUGUUCUGGGUUGAGACCGAGCUUAGCCUUGUUCAUUUUUUUACACAACACCUCCGUAAAAAAUAAAACACGGUUGGUCGGAGAUAGCCCUUUGCGAGGGAAAUAGCGGAUAAUGGCUUGCCCCGAUAUGCAGCAAAUCUGCCGUCGAUGUGCCAUUUCAGGGCAU